GGUAGCAUAGUUAAGGAAUAACGUUUGGUUUGCAUUCAAAAAUCGGCUUCGGCCUGCAGCCU
rnacentral:tRNA from 1 species